AUUGAACGCUGGCGGCAUGCCUUACACAUGCAAGUCGAACGGCAGCGGGGGAGAAGCUUGCUUUUCCUGCCGGCGAGUGGCGAACGGGUGAGUAAUACAUCGGAACGUGCCCUGUAGUGGGGGAUAACUAGCCGAAAGAUUAGCUAAUACCGCAUACGACCUGAGGGUGAAAGUGGGGGACCGCAAGGCCUCAGGUUAUAGGAGCGGCCGAUGUCUGAUUAGCUAGUUGGUGGGGUAAAGGCCUACCAAGGCGACGAUCAGUAGCUGGUCUGAGAGGACGAUCAGCCACACUGGGACUGAGACACGGCCCAGACUCCUACGGGAGGCAGCAGUGGGGAAUUUUGGACAAUGGGCGAAAGCCUGAUCCAGCAAUGCCGCGUGUGUGAAGAAGGCCUUCGGGUUGUAAAGCACUUUUGUCCGGAAAGAAAUGGCUCUGGUUAAUACCUGGGGUCGAUGACGGUACCGGAAGAAUAAGGACCGGCUAACUACGUGCCAGCCGCCGCUGUAA
rnacentral:rRNA from 1 species